GGGGAAUUUUGGACAAUGGGCGAAAGCCUGAUCCAGCAAUGCCGCGUGAGUGAAGAAGGCCUUCGGGUUGUAAAGCUCUUUUGUCAGGGAAGAAACGGUGGGAGCUAAUAUCUCCUGCUAAUGACGGUACCUGAAGAAUAAGCACCGGCUAACUACGUGCCAGCAGCCGCGGUAAUACGUAGGGUGCAAGCGUUAAUCGGAAUUACUGGGCGUAAAGCGUGCGCAGGCGGUUUUGUAAGUCAGAUGUGAAAUCCCCGGGCUUAACCUGGGAAUGGCAUUUGGGACUGCAAGGCUGGAGUGCGGCAGAGGAGACUGGAAUUCCUGGUGUAGCAGUGAAAUGCGUAGAUAUCAGGAGGAAUACCGAUGGCGAAGGCAGGUCUCUGGGCUGACACUGACGCUCAUGCAUGAAAGCGUGGGGAGCAAAC
rnacentral:rRNA from 1 species